rnacentral:rRNA from 1 species
UACGGGGGGGGGUAAGCGUUUGUUCGGAAUUACUGGGUGUAAAGGGCUCGUAGGCGGCCAACUAAGUCAUACGUGAAAUCCCUCAGCUUAACUGGGGAACUGCGUGUGAUACUGGAUGGCUUGGAUUUGGGAGAGGGAUGCGGAAUUCCAGGUGUAGCGGUGAAAUGUGUAGAGAUCGGGAGGAACACCGGUGGCGAAGGCGGGUCUCUGGGCAAUUCCUGGACGCUGAGGCGCGAAAGCGUGGGGAGCAAACAGG